rnacentral:rRNA from 1 species
UACGUAGGGUGCAAGCGUUGUCCGGAAUUACUGGGCGUAAAGAGCUCGUAGGUGGUUUGUCGCGUUGUUCGUGAAAACUCACAACUCAAUUGUGGGCGUGCGGGCGAUACGGGCAGACUGGAGUACUGCAGGGGAGACUGGAAUUCCUGGUGUAGCGGUGGAAUGCGCAGAUAUCUGGAGGAACACCGGUGGCGAAGGCGGCAUCCUGGACCAAUUCUGACGCUGAGGAGCGAAAGCCAGGGGAGCAAACGGG